CUUAGCAUAUCAAUAAGCGGAGGAAAAGAAACUAACAAGGAUUCCCCUAGUAACUGCGAGUGAAGCGGGAAAAGCUCAAAUUUAAAAUCUGGCGGUCUUUGGCCCGUCCGAGUUGUAGUCUGGAGAAGCGUCUUCCGCGCUGGACCGUGUAUAAGUCUCUUGGAACAGAGCGUCAUAGAGGGUGAGAAUCCCGUCUUUGACACGGACUACCAGUGCUUUGUGAUGCGCUCUCAAAGAGUCGAGUUGUUUGGGAAUGCAGCUCAAAAUGGGUGGUGAAUUCCAUCUAAAGCUAAAUAUUGGCGAGAGACCGAUAGCGAACAAGUACCGUGAGGGAAAGAUGAAAAGCACUUUGGAAAGAGAGUUAAACAGUACGUGAAAUUGCUGAAAGGGAAACGCUUGAAGUCAGUCGCGUUGUCCGGGACUCAGCCUUGCUUCGGCUUGGUGCACUUUCCGGAUGACGGGCCAGCAUCGAUUUUGACCGCCGGAAAAGGGCUGGAGGAAUGUGGCACCUUCGGGUGUGUUAUAGCCUCCAGUCGCAUACGGCGGUUGGGAUCGAGGAACGCAGCACGCCUUAUGGCGGGGGGUUUACCCUACCUUCGUGCUUAGGAUGCUGGCAUAAUGGCUUUAAACGACCCGUCUUGAAACACGGACCAAGGAGUCUAACAUGCCUGCGAGUGUUUGGGUGGAAAACCCGAGCGCGUAAUGAAAGUGAAAGUUGAGACCUCUGUCGUGGAGGGCAUCGACGCCCGGACCUGACGUUCUCUGACGGAUCCGCGGUAGAGCAUGUAUGUUGGGACCCGAAAGAUGGUGAACUAUGCCUGAAUAGGGUGAAGCCAGAGGAAACUCUGGUGGAGGCUCGUAGCGAUUCUGACGUGCAAAUCGAUCGUCAAAUUUGGGUAUAGGGGCGAAAGACUAAUCGAACCAUCUAGUAGCUGGUUCCUGCCGAGCCUCCCCCCCUCCGGGUUA
rnacentral:rRNA from 1 species